CGCAGCGUCCUAGGGGAGUAGUCUCCCGCGAGCAACAUGGCUCGCAUGGCAUGCGUCAACAUACUUGGUCCACAGACCAUGGCGCAUGCGACCUCACAGUCCGCAUCAGACGGGCUCAGGGUU
rnacentral:sRNA from 2 species